AAAUUAAAGUGUCGACGUACCGAGUGAAUUGAAUUUCGUAAAGAACGUCGUCGUGUUAAAGUUCAGAAGAGGAAAUAUCGGAAUGGCGAGAAAAAACGGCACGGUCUUGUAAAGAUCCCACGCAGGUCCGAGAUUGUCGCGGUAAGCAGUAUAAAGGCAAAGACCACUCAUCACGAGCAGCAUAAAAAAUCCUGGAAUGAGACCAGCCAUCAGGAAUCCCCAGGGCAUCGUUAACAGGGAGGACCCUAAUAUCGUGUUCCAUAUCGAAAAUCUGAAAUUUAUUAAAACAAAUAAAAUAAACAGAAAACUGUAGAAAAAAUAUACAAGAAAAUAAGAAUCGAUUGAAUCAUAUGAGAAAAUUGAGAUGAACGAAUUUCCUGUGUUCUCAAAACACAAUUCUCAAAAAUUGACAAUAACAUGGAAACUAUUUUCCUCGUCUCAUCAUCGUAUCGAGUCUAAGAUCAAAGUACACGCAUUAUUCAUAAUAUUCCGUAACUCCGUGAGAUCUUAAUCUAAGCCAAUAUUUCGGAUGAAUCAGAGCCAUUUGAUUAAACCCCGAAAGAAUCUGCUACGAAAUUUUGUGAAUUUCCUUCGUGGAAGAGAAAAAAAUUGUAAUGUCUAAACCGUACCCAAGGCUCCCGCUAGAAGCAAUUCGAGGUCUGCAGGCACAUCAUUGACUGUAGGUUACAAAAUUAUUAACAGAGUAAAGGAAAUACGAUUAAACGAAAUGUGAUGGCAAAUGUUUUGCCUCUGAUAAGAAAUGACUAUUGUGAACGCGAAAUAAUAUUUAUCGUCUGGUCAUGCGUAAUUGAGACAGUGUAUGUGACACGCGCGCUUCGGAUUUUUCCAAUAUACAAUAAAUCGAUACACACAUUGGUCGGAUACCAUUGAGCAGAAGAAAACAAUGUUCCACGCCGACAAUAGCACAUUAGGUUUUAUUCUCUUGGUCGUUAAUUUUUCGUCAAUCCAUCCAUCAUUUAUAUCUCAAAAUCCCAAAGAAACACAAAGAUUUCGGGGAUGAGAGAAUGAAAAAUAAAAAGAGUUGAAUCGAGA